rnacentral:rRNA from 1 species
GACGAACGCUGGCGGCGUGCUUAACACAUGCAAGUCGAACGGGGCGAAGUGAUAGCUUGCUAUUAUGGAGCCUAGUGGCAAACGGGUGAGUAACGCGUAGGCAACCUGCCCUUCAGAUGGGGACAACACCUCGAAAGGGGUGCUAAUACCGAAUGACGUUUCCUGGUCGCAUGACCUGGAAACCAAAGGCCGGGCAACCGGUCACUGAAGGAUGGGCCUGCGUCUGAUUAGCUAGUUGGUGGGGUAACGGCCCACCAAGGCGACGAUCAGUAGCCGGUCUGAGAGGAUGAACGGCCACAUUGGGACUGAGACACGGCCCAA